rnacentral:rRNA from 1 species
CCUACGGGAGGCAGCAGUGAGGAAUAUUGCGCAAUGGGCGAAAGCCUGACGCAGCGACGCCGCGUUGGGGAUGAAACCCUUUGGGGUGUAAACCCAUGUUGUAGGGGACGAAGAAAGUGACGGUACCCCUACGAGGAAGCCCCGGCUAACUACGUGCCAGCAGCCGCGGUAAGACGUAGGGGGCAAGCGUUGUCCGGGAAUUACUGGGCGUAAAGGGGCACGCAGGCGGGUGCGCCCAAGUCGAGGGUGUAAAGUUACGGCUCAACCCGUGACAUUGCAAUCGAUACUGGCGCGCUGGAGUGCGGGAGAGGGAAGUGGAAUUCCCGGGGUAGCGGGUGAAAUGCGUAGAUAUCGGGGAGGAACGCCGGUGGGCGAAGCCGGCUUCCUGGGCCCGCAACUGACGCUCAUGUGCGAAAGCCAGGGGAGCGAACC